AGCAGCGUGGUUUAGUGGAAAAAACACGGUCUUGGGAGUCAGAGGUCAUGGGUUCUAAUCCCGGCUCUGCCA
rnacentral:tRNA from 1 species